GCGCUUUAUGUGAGGGGGGUAGGAUCGUAAUAUUACGAUAUAAUGCGGGCGGACGGUCGGAAAUCGGAGGACGUGAAGCCAACGGUCAUGGUCGGAAGGAAAUUCCGACGACAGCCGAUGGAAAGCGCCACGUGGCGUUAGUUCCAGAAACCGAUCCAACCUCAUGGAAGCUUCUUGAGCCGUCGCGUCUCGCCCGCCUUCCCCGUCCCUCCCUUCGCCUCCCGCCUUCCCUAUUUUCUUGCCGGUUCUGGGGGAUUUAGGGUUCUUUCCGUGGCUCAAUUCCCACAGUUUGGGAUGUAAUUUGAGAAAAUUUGGUCGGGCUUUGGUUGAUUCGAGGAACUGAUACGGUUUAGGGUUUCAGAUGGGAGGACCUCUCCAUUCCCGGAGAUUUUAGGUUUGUUUUGGUUGGGGAGAAGGUGGAUUUUAGUUUUCCGUCGGAGAUGCAGACGGUGAGAGUGAGAAGGAAUGGAAAUUCUUUCCAUUUUUCUGAGGGUUUGAUGGAGAGAGAGUUUGAUAGCUUUGCGACGAUCCCAGCGUCCUCCUCUUCGUCUCUGCCUUCUUCUUCCUCUUCUUCGCCGAUGGGUGUUAAUUAUAUCGAGCACCGGGUCUCGAAGAUGGAUACGCUUGCCGGCGUUGCCAUAAAGUAUGGUGUCGAGGUAGCAGACAUAAGACGACUGAAUGGUUUGGUGACAGAUCUUCAGAUGUUUGGUCACAAAUCAUUACAGAUUCCUCUGCCAGGAAAGCAUCCUCCAUCUCAAAUUCUUUCAAAUGGUUCAGCUAAUAACGGGAAGUUCCCAUCAGAAAUAUCAUCUGACAUCUUCUACCAACAGUGAGGAUAGUUUAUGGUACUGAAUUUUAAUAGCUAUAUUCUCCCUCUGCUCUUUUUAGUCGGGUAAGUGUCCAUAUCUGUAAUCUUUAACUAUCUUUCUUUUUAAUCUGCUUUUGCUCAUCUUGACUACCGAAGUUGCUUUAACAGAGAAGGAUGACAAAGGUAUCAAAUCAUUGUAGGCCGCGAACCUUUACUUUGGAUCAUAUGCCAUGUAACAAUAUUAACUUUGACCUGUAUAUUUAGAUAAUGUUUUACUGGUGGAUUUCUUAGUGUCUUAAAAUAAUAGCUAUUUUUUAUCCAUCACCACAUUGUAAAGGGAUUUGUAAAUCCAGUGUGGAGGAUCCCAAAAUGUAUAAAUUGAUGUUGUAUGCAUGAGCAUAUUGUAAUGCAGUACCUCCUGAUAGAUGCUAAAACUUUAAUCUGAGGGGACCAAGCAGUAGAAAUCGUUUCUUAGCAACGACAGAAAAUCAUUCUGAUUGAUGGUUAUUGGAUGCCAUUGGCAUUCCUCAAAAUGUUCAUGAACUUUAGAUGGAAUAUUUGAUUGUUUGAUUGCCUUCUGACACUGAUGUUUAAUGGUUUAGGAGUAAGGUGUUACUUCUAAGAAAAAUCUGCUUGCACAUAACUUGUUAGCUUUCUUUGGGAGAAAUGAUAUGAUAACGUCAAUGAAAAAUACAUCUUUUUUUUCCCUAAAAAAAAUUACAGCUUUUCAACAAUACCAUUUAUGGUUUAUGUUAUCUCGUGUUUACAAAUUGUAACUAUUGAAAAUUCAAAGUAGACUGGUCAUCAAGAGUAGAAUCUUGUGAGAUGGUUGUUGAUUUAGCACUUUGUCAGUUCUUUUAUAAAACCAUGUUGACCACUCUCUUGUUCUGUAGUCUUGCAGUUUUCUUGCUCUUAGACAGCUGUUUACAAGAUUCAUUGAUCACUGUAGAGCAUAGAACAACAGACUCCUCCCCAUCAGCCUCAUAUUGAUGUCUUGGAUUCAUUCCAAUCGCUCAAGUUGAAACCCCCUCCAUAUAAAAUCUCCCCAGCUAUGAGCAGUUUACAGGGAUACUAUCGCCUCACACGCCCUAGAAGCGGUCCAACACCCGAAGGCAGCGAAGUGGCUGUGUACAAAACACGCAGAUUCCUCUGCUUGGAGAAUGAACAGUUGCCGGGAGAGUCGCCAAUCUCUGACCCAAUUCAUAGCUGGAAUCAGAGGACUGGAAGUGUGGCAAAUGGAUUCUCAUCAGAAAAUGGUGAGGUUGUCGAGGACAAAAUAGUUGAAGCUGUCGACAACAGUGAUGCUGAGAGAUCUAUUAGGAGGCGUCAAAAGUCUGAUGCUCUUCCAUCACAGCAGAUGCCAGAACUAUUUUUGGAGGAUAGCUCUGGGGGAUUUGCAGGGAGGGCAGCGAAAGGCCUGGCCGUGAGGCCGAAAUCAGGGAGCAGAACAGAUAUGGAUAUGGGUCGCGGAAAUGGCGUUUCUUUUGGAGACUCCUCCAUGGCUGGUGGAUUUUCUGCUGUCCGUAAAUCAUCCAGCACUUCCAAUUUGCAAGACGCUGACAGCAGCUCCUCCAUAUGGUCGACGAGCAAGUGGACUUUGAAACCUGAAGCUCUUGCUAGGCCUCUUUUUGAUGGCUUGCCAAAGCCCAUAGCUGCAUGGAGGAAUAAUAAAGCUGCUCGGGAUUAGCCACCCUUCUUACUUGUUCGGUCAAUUUUUUGCUGCAAUCUGAUAUCUGAUACACCGAUUAUUGCAACUCAUGAGAGUGAGUUCUGCAUCAGGCCUUGAAUUAAAACAUCAUAUAUGUCACCCUACAGGAAUAGGAAGAGGUACAGAAAAUUCGUCAAAUAAAACAUUAUAAUGCCAUCUCGACCUGUUGCAACUGGUCAGAAACAUGGGCACCAGUCUUGCAUGUUCCUUGUGUCGCAAUGGAAAAAAGCCGAGCUUAACAGUAGCUGUAAUCCUUUAGGGUCAUCACAUCACCAUUAAUACGUCGUUCCUGCUCGGUCCUACUGUUUUGAAGGAAUUCUUUUGUAUAAAUUCAGAUGUUGUAUUUAUAGUGAGGAAAUCAAAUUUUGUAUUUUUUUCUCCAUAAAAUUGAUUUAGAAAUGGUUCAA